GCGCGCAGGCGGUUUCUUAAGUCUGAUGUGAAAGCCCCCGGCUCAACCGGGGAGGGUCAUUGGAAACUGGGGAACUUGAGUGCAGAAGAGGAGAGUGGAAUUCCACGUGUAGCGGUGAAAUGCGUAGAGAUGUGGAGGAACACCAGUGGCGAAGGCGACUCUCUGGUCUGUAACUGACGCUGAGGCGCGAAAGCGUGGGGAGCGAACAGGAUUAGAUACCCUGGUAGUCCACGCCGUAAACGAUGAGUGCUAAGUGUUAGAGGGUUUCCGCCCUUUAGUGCUGCAGCAAACGCAUUAAGCACUCCGCCUGGGGAGUACGGUCGCAAGACUGAAACUCAAAGGAAUUGACGGGGGCCCGCACAAGCGGUGGAGCAUGUGGUUUAAUUCGAAGCAACGCGAAGAACCUUACCAGGUCUUGACAUCCUCUGACAACCCUAGAGAUAGGGCUUCCCCUUCGGGGGCAGAGUGACAGGUGGUGCAUGGUUGUCGUCAGCUCGUGUCGNGAGAUGUUGGGUUAAGUCCCGCAACGAGCGCAACCCUUGAUCUUAGUUGCCAGCAUUCAGUUGGGCACUCUAAGGUGACUGCCGGUGACAAACCGGAGGAAGGUGGGGAUGACGUCAAAUCAUCAUGCCCCUUAUGACCUGGGCUACACACGUGCUACAAUGGGCAGAACAAAGG
rnacentral:rRNA from 1 species